rnacentral:piRNA from 1 species
GAUUCGCAACUGCUGUGGAGCUCUCACAG